GGUAAGCAAAGACAAACUCUUACAAGAAUGUCCUGGGUCCCGAUGGUUUUGGGCAUCCUUACUGCUUUAGUUACAGUUGUGGCCAUGACACUCAUCUUUCUUAGAAAAAGAAGAAAAGAAACUCGCUUUGGGUAUGACACCUCUUUCUUGAGAUACAAAACAGUGAUAUAUUAAAAUUGUAUACUGUAUAUUUAAAGGAACCCCUAAACACUUGACUACUUAGAGGGGCAAGGGGCCAGAGCACUCCUGGCAUUAUAAGCACUACAGAAAGUUCUACUGGUUAUGGUACUUGGAGUGUUAAUUUAAGGACUGCAGUAGAAGUAUUAGUUGUACAAUUAAUUUAAGUGCAUGCAUUCAUGCUUUAUGAUGAUGACUAGCCUUGUGUCACCAAAUGUUUUGGUUUUAAAUUUAGUAAAGGAUAUACCUAGAAUAGGACCUUGUUGAAGUUCGUGAUUCCAAAGUUGCUUUAAAUGUGUCAGAGAUUUGGGACUUAAUGUGCAUUACUUGCUGCUCGACAUCAUCACUGAUUUGCUUCCCAGUACAUUUUUGCAUUAUGUCUACAAUCUAGAAAAAUAGUAAUUCCAUAUUUUUGCAUCCUUAAAGCUUUUUAAAUAGGAACCGUCACUUCCAAGAAUUUUUUAUAUCAUGUACACCCUAUUCCAAAUUAUUAUGCAAAUGAUAUUUUUCUCAUUUACCUAAAUAAUUGAUGUAAAUAACAGUCAGCAUAAUUCUCAUGUUAUCAACUAUUAAGAGUACAAUUCAAAUUUUAUUGAACAAACCUCCUAAUGAUAACAGUAUUUUUUUUAAACAUAAAAAACUUACAAUGCACUGUUCCAAUGCACUGUUCCAAAUUAUUAAGCAUAGUAAGUUUCAAAACACUUUAUAGGUUGUAAAGAACUGAAAAUUGUCAUUUGUUGUGUUGGCAGCAUAUUUACUGAAAUCAAAAGCUAUUUCAAUCAAACUUAUAACAACAUUUUAACAGGUCAUGUUACAUUUUAACAUAGGACCCCUUAUUUGAUAGCAGCUUCGCAAGUCUUGCAUCCAUUGAACUUGUGAGUUUUUGGACAGUUUCUGCUUGAAUUUGUUUGCAAGAUGUCAGAAUAGCCUCCCAGAGCUGCUCUUUGGAUGUAAACUGCCUCCCACCUUCAUAGAUCUUUUGCUUGAGGAUGCUCCAAAGGUUCUCAAUAGUAUUGAGGUCAGGGGAGGAUGGAGGCCACACCAUGACUUUCUCUCCUUUUAUCACCAUAGCAGCUAUUGAUGCAGAGGUAUUCUUUGCAGCAUGAGAUGGUGCAUUGUCAUGCGUGAAAUGUACCAGGGAAGAAAGUGGUCAGUCAGAAACUCCACAUACUUUGCAGAGGUCAUCUUUACACCUUCAGGGACCCUAAAGGAGCCGACCAGCUCUCUUCCCAUGAUUCUGGCCCAAAACAUGACUCCACCACCGCCUUGCUGACGUCGCAGCCUUGUUGGAACAGGGUGGCCGUGUGUAAUGGUAUUUUAACAGCUGCUCUCUUGAUCCGAUGGAUGGAUCUGGCAGAAAUCUUCCUCAAUGUGCCUUUAUCUGCACGAACAUGUCUGUGCUCUGAAUAGUGCGAUGAUCACGCUUAAGUUUUCGUGAAAUAUCUAAUGUUUUCAUAUCUCAUCCAAAGCAUUAAACUAUGGUGCUCUGCUUAAUAAUAUGGAACACCCUCCUAGUUUUCCCUUAAAUUGGGCUCACCUGGCAAUCUAAUUAUCACAGGUGUCCGAGAUUGUUUUCAAUGAUAAAAAGAGCCCUGAGACACAAUGCCAUCCAUGAGUUAAACUGAAAAACAAAGUAUUUAAUCUUUAUGACACUUAAAUAGAAUUUGCAUAAUAAUUUGAAACAGAGUGUAUGUUUAUCACUAUAUUUAACAAAUACAUAUUAGUAAGGUGUGAAAUAAUAAAUUCAGUGUAAAUUCACACCUCCUUAUUGUCACAUACUGUCAGGAUUACUAGUUGAUCCAGCAUGUAGAAUUGUGUCACCGAGCCUUAGGAUGGCCGGACUUAACGUAUUAAAGAGUCGUCAGGAUACUUGCCUAGGUCAGGGGAUACAGAAAGAGACACAACGAAAAGGGAAAGCCAGAAGUCAGGGAUACCAGAAUACAGGAAAGUCAAAGCCAAAGUCAAAAACCAGAAAAUCCUUGAAUAAGGAACGCACUCUCGGACAACCACUAGGGAAACCUCGACAGGGCAAUGAGGAAAGGUAAUUUUGGGUUUAAAUACCUGCUUUACCUUUCUGAUUGGCCGAGAUCGAUCUUUGACCCCAAAACGUGCGUGUGUGGCGCGUGCAUGACGUCGCGCGCAUGCCGACGUUGUCAAUCACCUGAGCAGACGUGGGGGUUUAAUUGGAUCCCCAGUGGCCGGCGUCCAUUAGCAUGCCGCAAGUGUCAGUCAUGCAGAUGCACAGCCGCUGAGUGCAGAGACCGCAAGGUGAGGAAGACUAUGUUACAUUACCCCCCACCUGAAGACCACCCACCAGACAGGCAAGACCAGGCUUGAGAGGAAAUUUAGCAUGAAAAUAGCUGAUCUUGUGGCAAGCAUGUAAGUCAGAGGCCGGAACCCAAGAACAGUCGGCAGGCCCAUAACCCUUACAAACAACUAAGUACUGCAAAGUGCCCCGAGAAAACCUGGAAUCAAUUAUGGAGGAGACCUCAUACUCCUCCUGUCCAGAAACAACCAAGGGAGGAGGGGGGAUGCAUGGGACAGUAUCCAUACAAAAAGAGAAAGGUUAUAGCACACAAACACAGUAAUAUUUAAAAUAAAAAUAUAAAGUAAAAAUAUAGGUCCGGGAGGGCCAGAGAAUAUGACACAGGGUUAAUUCCCCGAAGGAUACAAAUGGGGCCCAGGAAUCUGGAUGCAAACAUCAUACUAGGUAUGGCCGGCGUCCAUUAGCAUGCCGCAAGUGUCAGUCAUGCAGGCGCAGAGACCGCAAGGUGAGGAAGAAUAUGUUACACAUACUUACUUUUAAUCGGCGCCCGCGCUGCUCCUCUCCUCGGGCCGCGAGGCCCAAAUGCUGCACGUGGCCACACAGCCUGAAUAGAAUACUUCUGCUGGUUUUCGGGAUGAACUGCAACCUCUAGAAAUAAUAUAUGAAGCCAUGACAUCAUUACCUUAAAUGGACCACGUUGUCUAAGCGAUCCAAUGCUGUUUGGGCUCGCUUAGAUGAAGUGAACCAAUGGGAACUCUUUUGAGCCUAUUUAGAUCCCCAUUUAGUGCUCCUAGCGAUUCCCUUGUGAUUUCCUGUGUUUGAUCUUGCCUUCGUAUUUGACUCCUGAUUUAUGGUAUCCUGAUCCCGGCAUCGUAUUUGACUCCUGAUUGCUGGAAUCCUGACCCCGGCUUCGUUUUUGACUCAUGAUUUUUGGUAUCCUGACCCGGCUAUGUAUUUGACUCGUUAUUUUCUGGUAUCCUGACCCGGCUUUGUCUUGACUGAGUAUUUUUGCAAUCCUCACCUUGAUUUAUCGUGACCCUGUUUCUUGUUGUAUUAAUAUGUUAAGUCCGGCUAUUCUAAAGUUCGGUAAUACGUCUUUCAAAUCUACUUUUUGUGGGUUUCCUCUUUCCUGUGUGUUGGGGUACAACUCCCGUGACACUUAUCCUAUUUCCUUAUAUCUCAUCUCCCUCUCUUGCUCUUCCUCUCACUAAUAUUUUCAAUAUCUCCCUUUUCUCCGGCACAUUUCCUUGACCCUUAAAGCAUAACGCCGAUUCUGAAAAGCCCAACCUUGACCCCAACUCCCCAUCCAACUACCGCCCUAUAUCGCUACUGUCUUUUGCAUUCAAGAUCCUUGAGAGAGUUGUGUAUGCGAGAUUGACAGACUUCCUCGAAUCCAACUCUCUGCUUGACCCGCUUCAUUCUGGAUUCUGCGCUCGUCACUCUGUUGAAACAGCUGUGACCAAAGUAUCCAACUAUUUAAUCGCUGCCAUUACUCUUUCCUAAUUCUCCUUGAUCUUUCUAAUGCCUUUUAAACUGUUGAUCAUCAACAGCUUCUUCUUAUUCUCCGUAAUCUCAGUCUUUGGGAUAUUGCUCUCUCCUGGUGCUCCUCCAAUCUCUUCCAGACUUUUUUCAGUGUUUCUUUCUCUGGCUCUGUCUCUUCUCCCCAACUCCUCUCUGUUGGCGUUCCCCAAGGUUCUGUCCUUGGUCCCCUACUGUUCUCUAUCUAUACUGCCUCCAUCGGUAAACUCAUCAGCUCCUUUGACUUCCAUGAUCAUUUAUAUGAAAAAUAUAAAUGUAUGUUUGCACUCAAACCUGCAGAAGGAUGCAGGUAUCAGGGUUACCCACCUAUAUUAACCCCAACAUGAAAAUAUAAAAAAUUAAAAAAAGGAAUGAUACCACACUCCAAAAUAUUGCUCAAAAAAUCAAAAAUGAUUUAAUGGAUAGUGUAAACAAAAAUAUUAAAGGCAAUCAAUUCACAUGAAAAUUCAUCUAUAUACACAAAUAUUUCAUUGGUAAAAAAAAAAAACCUGAAUUCAUAUUACAUACACUAUUGGCUGUACAAGUAUCAUAUAUAUAGAUAAAAAAACAACAAUAGUUUAUCCCAAAGUCUUGAUCAUGAAAAAUUAUGUACAAAAAUCAGAGCAAAUUCAUCAAAAUAUUUUUGGGGAAUAGUUCAUCAAACCUGGAUCCUGGCCCUGUUAUGGAUCGAAGUUAAGCAAAAUAUGCUUGUGAUACAUCCUACCAUACCCCGUACUAAAUAUAAGGAAAAUAGUCCUGCCUAAAAUGGUAGCAGAGUCUCUAUAAAAGACAAAAAAUAAUUAAUUACUGCAGGAAACAAAAAUGUGGAAAAAAUCCGCAAAAAAAAGUCUCUAUAUGUAAGAUCUUCUGAGUACUCAAAAAGAAAAUAAAGAAAAUAUGUAAAAAAGAUUGUUAGGAUCUCACCAAAUUCAGUUGAAGCAGGGUAUUUGAAUGUUGAAGUAGCAGGUAGUGUGUGUCAUAAAGACCAUUCACUUCAACAAGCUCAUAAGGGAUAUCCGUUUGAACGUAAGUAAUCCCUCUGUGUACGUUGUGCGUUGUAUGUGGAUUUGCUCCAGGUCCAGUUAACUGGGGGGCUGCACGCUCGGGAUCAUCUUCCCUUCAAAGGCUCUUUGAAGGGAGGAUGAUCCCGAGCGCGCAGUCCACCGGUGAACUGGACCUGGAUCAAAUUUCCUAUCCGCCCACACCUCCCACGCCUCCCCCCUCUGCUAGUCCCUACAUUGGCUUCCAGUUAGAUAUAAGGCUCAAUUUAAGAUUUUGGUGAUUCAUUUUAAGUUCCUACCUAAUGCUGCUCUAAUCUACCUAUUCUCCCUAAUACACAAAUAUGUCCCGUCAAGGCCCCUGUGCUCUGGCGAAGACCUACGCCUAUCCUCUGACUGUACUCCCACAUCUGAUGCUCGUCUCCAAGACUUCUCCAGGGCUGCACUGUUUCUGUGGAACUACCUUCCCUUCUCCGUUAGACUUUUGCCCAGUCUCCACUCCUUCAAAAAAUCUUUGAAAACACACUUCUUCAGAAUCAUUUAAACUGUUAACGGGUUUUUAUCCCCCUCCAUGACUCCUCUUCUUCAACUGUCAAAAAUAACCUGUUAAGUUCUCAUUGAUUACUUUUUAAGCAACCUAUAUCAUUACCCCUACUUAUGCCCUUUGUGUCACUAUACCCCACUCCCUCUAGCAUCUAAGCUCAUUGAGCAGGGCACUCAACCCCUCCGUUCCUGUGCGUCCAUUUGUCUGGCUACAAUUCGGUGUCUGUUAUUCCACCCAUUGUACAGUACUACGGAUUUUGCUGGCGCUAUAUAAAUAAUAAUAAUAAUAAUAAUAAUAACCGGGCACCUCAAUCUUGGCUCAUAGAGAAGCUUUGGAUUGGACCAUUAACCUGGCACAGGGCACAUGCACGCACUCUGAGCUGGCAAGAGGGGUGUGAGGAGGAAGGAAGUCUGCAAAAAUAUUUGAACAAUGUGACCAGGAGGCAAGAGCAAGGGGACACAUAAGACUCCUCUCACAGAAAACAAGGGAAUAAUCAAAUUACGUCUAUUGCCAUCAUUCUGUCCGGGCUGUCAACAGAUAUAAAAUAUGCACAGAAUUGACAUUAGCAUGGAACAGAGUUCUUGGCUGCCAAUGUCAUGUGUGCUGGGGGUUCAACUAGCUGCCGGCACACAAGUGCAAAUUACACUGUAUGUAAUUUGCUGCACAUCCAGUCUCCUACCACCAUGACCACUUCUAAAAGCAAAAGUGGUCAUGGAUGUUGGAGUAACCCUUUAAUAAUGAUUUAAAGGAAAAUGGUGCCUCUCAUGAAAUAAAGAUUAAUACGUUUUAGGUGAUUUAGAAUUUUUUAUUCAAAGAUGUAAAUUACAAAGAAGUGACAGUUCACCUUUAAAACACUUUGAGUCUGGUACCUGUUAGAAUGUGUUUUUUAUUAUAUAUCUUUUUGUCACUUAGAAACAUGUUUGGCUCCGUUUUGGGUAGAGGAGGACCAGUUAUCCAGUUCACAGCUGCUCGGUCUUUUAACAGAAGAGGCACAGAGUUAAUGGAAGCAACAU